rnacentral:rRNA from 1 species
CAGCCGCCGCGGUAAUACCAGCUCUCCGAGUGGUGGGGAUGUUUAUUGGGCCUAAAGCAUUCGUAGCCUGCUUGGCAAGUCYUCCGUUAAAUCCAACGAUUCAAUCGUUGGGCUGCGGGGGAUACUGUCCAGCUAGGGGGCGGGAGAGGCCGACGGUAUCCCCGGGGUAGGGGUGAAAUCCUAUAAUCCCGGGAGGACCACCAGUGGCGAAGGCUGUCGGCUAGAACGCGCUCGACGGUGAGGGAUGAAAGCUGGGGGAGCGAACCGGAUUAGAUACCCGGGUAGUCCCAGCUGUAAACGAUGCAGGCUAGGUGUUGGCGCGGCUACGUGCCGCUCCAGUGCCGCAGGGAAGCCGUUAAGCCUGCCGCCUGGGAAGUACGGCCGCAAGGCUGAAACUUAAAGGAAUUGGCGGGGGAGCAC